rnacentral:lncRNA from 1 species
AAAGGAAAACAUCAAAUUUGAGCAGAUAACAGAAGUGCAUGGGAAACAAGAGAAAGAGCAGGUUUUUAGAGAUAAAAAAUACAUCAUAAAAAUAUAUGCAGUCACCAGCAAACACCAUAAAAACAAUACCAAGAUGCCAGAGAUACAAACAAAAGAAUCUUGUACAUUUACAAGAAAUAGAUAAUAUCUGACUAUUAUAAUCUCGUAUAUUGGCAUAAAAUCAUGAAGAGUAAGUGGAAAAUGGUGACAUUUUAAUUGGCAAUCCUUACCUUGAACAAUUUUCCACUCUCCAUUCUGACAAGUUACAGGGAAGGAAUAAAUGAGACCAGCUGGUACAUUGUAUGAACCAUCAGAGUACACCCCCAUGGAAACCCAGGUACCCUACAAUAAAGAAAAUAAAAUCAUACCAUAAUACCAAACUUGCACAAUUGAACAUCAGAAAGCAAGUCAACCAUUGUCAAACCUCAGGAGUUCCAAGAACCCAAUCACGAAUGUGGUCACAAGCUGAGCUAGCAGCUGAUAGUGCACUUGAAAGCUUCCUUGCUUUGAUGAUUGCAGCACCACGUUGUUGAACAGUAGUGAUGAACUCUGCAUUCAACCUUCAACCAAGAAAUAGAAUUAACAUUGUGAUCCACACCUUUCCAAACCAAAUUAAACACUUUUAAAACAUAUACAAUCAUUAAUACCACUCGUCGUCCUUAACAAGCUCCCGCACCGGUUUCUCCCCAGCUGGAGUCUUAACAGUAGCAUGGUUGACAUCAGGGUACUGGGAAGACGAGUGAUUCCCCCAAAUAAUCACAUUUUUAACAUCACAGACUUGGACGCUCAACCUCUCUGAAAUUUGACCAAGUGCCCUGUUAUGGUCCAGUCUUGUCAAAC